rnacentral:lncRNA from 10 species
CUGGCAUCUACCACCCCGCAUAGCCCUCCAAACCACUCCCACUUUAUCUGCAUUCUGAUCCCAUUUCUUCUUUGUAAUUUAAAUUUUAAUUACACAAGUGAUAUAAUGUUCUUUAAAAAUAAACUUAUAGAGAAGACUAAAGUCCCCUUUAUCAGUUCCUCCAAUCUUCCUCCUUCCCCCUUGCCCAGGUAGCAUGGCUCAGUGCUUGAGGAGUAUACUUCCAGGAACAUUUGAUCUGGGCUUGAUAAAUGGACACACAGAUGAAGGAAGAAACAAAUGAAGUAUGGCACCUAUGAAGGCUGGAGGACUCAGGGACAACUCCUGGAUGAGAUGAGCUGUGAUGAGGACACAAAGGAUUUCUAAACUGCUUUGCUGAUUUGAUCUGGGGCCCUGGAGUGCCAACAUCCUGUGAUAGCGGCUGAUUGUUGAUGCCUGGGAGGAUACAGCAGUGACGAUCCAAAUUUACAAGACUCAACAUGGUUUUCAAAACUUCCUUUUAAAAAAGAUGUUCCUGAGUUCUGGAAUCUGAACAAAAUAUGUCUGGUUAUUAUAUAAUUCUAAUGGUCCUUGUGGAUGCUACCAUUAGAGUUCAGUUAGUGUCUCAUCUAUCACUGUAAUAUUUGUAUUGUAACACUAAUCGUGGCAAAGUAUGAUUUGAUAAAUGCUCAUUCUCAAAUCUUUUAUUUUAGUGUGUUCAUGUAAGAUUAAUGACCAUGAUGACUUGAGAUAGAAUUUUUUGAUUUGUUGCUUUCUUUGUGUCUUCCAAUAUCACACAGAUUUGCAAAGAUAUCUAUGGCACAAGGGGAGAAAAUAAUAACUUAACUAGAGGAUAGGAGUAAGGCCUUCUAUUAACAAGACACUGUUGACAUUUCUAGGUAGAUUUCAGAAUUCUCCAGGCAUGCCUGGUAGAAAUUUUAGAAAUAAAAGCCAGGAAAGAAAGGCAGAAAGACUAUGUUGGGACAUUAGCAAUUUCUUCCUACCACAAUAUUUCUUUAUUCACUGUAAGUAAAUCUAAUGCUAAUUUAUUUAUCUGUCUAUCCUUUGAAUUACAAUUUAAAAUGUCAUAAAACAAAGAUUCAGAUAAGAUAGCUGAUUUGCUCAUAUUGAACGUCACAUUGAUUUUCACCAUCUGAGGCCCAUUGACAUCGUAUGGAUAUUAGAGAACCUGGAAUCACCAAGAUGGGGUUCUCCCACUGUUGUCUUCAUGAUCCAUGAUCAUUUGUACACAGUAAAUAUUUAUUUGAGUACAAUGACUUUACAAAUGAUACAUGCAGAUUCUGUAUACAAGGCUGAGAGUGAGUAGACCCAAUUUCAAACAAAAGGUUAUAUAUGUGACCAGUGAGAGUUUUCUAUCAUUCUCUAGGAGGCUAGACUAGGCAGAGUGCAAUUUAGGCCCCUGUGUGGUAAGGUGAGUUUUAAAAUUCCUCCUUUAUUUUCUCACUUGUUUUGGACAGCCAGGACCCAAAACAAAGCUAUUUAUUUGAAACCUCUCUCCUCUCUCUCUUCUUCCUCUUUCAUCAAUUUGAUUCCCUUUUUAUUAUCAUUAUUUAUGUUUUGUAUAACUAGAAAAAUAAUUUGUCAUGGAUUACAUCUUAUUUGCAAGAGGCUCUAGUAAGAUGGCAACAAGGCAUGCACAAUAUAUCAUAAUUUAGCAGCUUCUCUUGUAACUAUACUAAACUAGUGGUGGAAGAAAAUACAUAUAAACAACUCCGACAACAGAUUUUGAAUGAUCCAGUAACUUUGAUUUAUAUUUGGUAUUUGAUGGAACUGUAUUAGCAGUUAAAGCCAAUGGCUAAAUGAUUCCCAACACAAAAUGAGUCAGAAGUACAAAAGAAGCUUUACAAUGCACAAUAGAGAGCUCUGAGCCUCCCAGCUUAAAUUUCCAAAUUGCAGUGUAAAUUACAGGACUGCUUGUCAAUUUUAACUAACAGUUCUACCCAAUAGGGUCUAGCUAGGUAAUUCAUCCAUUAUUCCUUUAUGAAACAGUAAACACCAGCUAAAUUCCAUUGGCUUUUCUAAAUAAAAUUGCCUCAUCUCUCAUAUCUACUGCAGAGAAGGAGUGAAUCAACCUCUGACGACAGUAAGUCCCACACAACAAACAACAUGUGAAACCUGGAAUUAGUUAAAAAUGCUUUCCAUAUUUGUUAAUAGAAUUGGGUGCCAAUCAUCUUGAGAUGAUCUCAACCUUCCCAAGUUCUUUUGGUGGAAGGACUCUCACAUUCUUCUAUUUCCCCUCCUUACCCUAUAUUUUCUCUCAUCCCCAAAUAACUAUUUUCUCUUCACUUGUUUCCUCUAUGGCUUUCCCUGUCACAAAGAAGAAAUGAAUGAAAGAUUUGGAAGUCAAAAUCUAGCACUCCAAUUACCAACAUUAGCAGGAAGAGAAGAAUGUUCCAAAUAUCAACAAGAAUCUCAAAUCUAACCAAGCAAAAUAUGCAAUUAUGUAGGCAGAUGCUGGCUCAUCAGCCACUGAUAUAGACUGAUUUCUACCACUUCAUUAAUUUGACUUUCUUACUCUGGGCAAUUUGAUCAUACCCAUACAGCAUAUUUCUUAGCCAGAAAUAGAUUUGAUUGUUCUAGGCCAGGUGGGAAAGCCAAUAGAUUUGCACAAAUGCUUCACAGGGCAUCUGUAUUAUAGCAGGGAUGUGGGAAGUUUUAUUGUAGAGUUUGGAAGUGGACUGCUGAAUUCUCUUCCUUUAACCUAAUCAUGUCAUUCACGUGUGGAGCAUAGUCAGUCUUUACAUGUAUCUAUUGGUCUUUAUUGUUCAAUUUUUUUUUUUUUUUUUGAGAUGGAAUCUUGCUCUGUCACCCAGGCUGGAGUGCAGUGGCAUGAUCUCAGCUCACUGCAAAUUCCACCCACCAGAUUCAAGUGAUUCUCAUGCCUUAUCCUCUUGAGUAGUUGAGAUUACAGGUGCAUAUUGUCACACCUGGCUAAUUUUCGUAUUUUUAGUAGAGACGAGGUUUUGCCAUGUUGGCCAUGCUAGUCUGAAACUCCUGAACUCAAGUGAUCC